rnacentral:rRNA from 1 species
CCUACGAGAGGCAGCAGUGAGGAAUAUUGGUCAAUGGGCGCGAGCCUGAACCCGCCAAGUAGCGUGAAGGAUGACUGCCCUACGGGUUGUAAACUUCUUUUAUAAAGGCAUAAAGUGAGGCACGUGUGCCUUUUUGUAUGUCCUUUAUGAAUAAGGAUCGGCUAACUCCGUGCCAGCAGCCGCGGUAAUACGGAGGAUCCGAGCGUUAUCCGGAUUUAUUGUGUUUAAAGGGAGCGUAGAUGGGUUGUUAAGUCAGUUGUGAAAGUUUGCGGCUCAACCGUAAAAUUGCAAUUGAUAAUGGCAGUCUUGAGUACAGUUGAGGUAGGCGGAAUUCGUGGUGUAGCGGUGAAAUGCUUAGAUAUCACGAAGAACUCCGAUUGCGAAGGCAGCUUACUAAACUGCCACUGACAUUGAUGCUCGAAAGUGUGGGUAUCAAACAGGAUUAGAUACCCGAGUAGUC